CUGGUUAUAAUACGGCAAUUUUUAAAGGAAAUAUACAAGCGCCAUAAAUCUAAAGAAGCUAUGUUUAUUAUUUAAAAAGUGUUUAGUGUAUUUAUUUAUUUUUCAGGAGGUUCCUGACCGAACAAAGGGUUUGUUAUCACAAUCAGGUCCGGUUUAAACGCUCGCGUAAACACGCUUCUUCUGCGUCGCGUCGCGUCUCGCUCGCGCUCUCUUAGCAGAGACGCUUCUAUCACGCACACGUCAGAGAUCACCACGCAUUUAGCGUGUCCAGUCAGAGACCCCUCUGCCCUACAUUCAUUCCCGAUGCUGGAGGAGGAUGGGGAGGCAAAUCCCAGAAUGUCCUCGCGGAUGGAUGCAGCUGUUGUUGUAGUUCCGCGGAUCGUGCGUACGCGUAACGUGAGUGAAUCGGAAUAGAUAGAUAGAUAGAUAGAUAUUAUUCAUCCCAUGAGGGACAACGGAGGACGCGUUUUGGAAGGACUUUUAAGCGCUAGAGGAGAGAAGGGGGUCCACUCAGUGCCGACCGGAGCAUGAUGGACCCCCUGGCCAACAUUCGCGCAUCUCAGGCGGAGCGCAGCAGCAGAGGAGCCGCCGGCGGAGAAUCAGCGGACGAGCAGACACGCGGCUGCGGGAGAGACCCGCCGAUGGGCGGCAGCGACAGUCUGAGCAGCUUCGCCAACAUGGAAGACUCGCUGGAGGAGAAACUCAAAGGUCUGGCGGAUGGAUGCAGAUGUUGUUGUAGUUCCGCGGAUCGUGCGUACGCGUAACGUGAGUGAAUCGGAAUAGAUAGAUAGAUAGAUAGAUAGAUAUUAUUCAUCCCAUGAGGGACAACGGAGGACGCGUUUUGGAAGGACUUUUAAGCGCUAGAGGAGAGAAGGGGGUCCACUCAGUGCCGACCGGAGCAUGAUGGACCCCCUGGCCAACAUUCGCGCAUCUCAGGCGGAGCGCAGCAGCAGAGGAGCCGCCGGCGGAGAAUCAGCGGACGAGCAGACACGCGGCUGCGGGAGAGACCCGCCGAUGGGCGGCAGCGACAGUCUGAGCAGCUUCGCCAACAUGGAAGACUCGCUGGAGGAGAAACUCAAAGGUCUGGCGUUCAGGAAACAGAUCUCGUACAGGUCACAGACAGUCAAGGGAAGGACACAGAAACUGCAGGGGGUCUGGACCUCUCCCUCAAAACACC
rnacentral:lncRNA from 1 species